GCCAGGAGCACACAUAUUCUAAACUCCCUACUGGGAUUGUCUCUAAAACAAGUCGUUGAGGAGCCAACUCGUAAAGAGGCCAUACUAGAUUUAGUGUUAACAAAUGGAGAUUUGGUAUCAGAUAUUACUGUAGGUGAAAGUUUAGGAUCCAGUGAUCAUCAGUCAGUGUGGUUUAAUAUAAGAACAGUGACUGAGUCACACCACACAAAAACAAAAGUUUUAGACUUUAGAAAAACAGACUUUUCUAAAAUUUGAAUAUGUGUAAAGGAGUCAUUAUCAGACUGGAGCAAUUUAAAUGCAGUCCAAUAGAAAUGGGAUUAUUUAAAAGUUGCACUACUGAAGGUAACAGAAAAUUGCAUUAGGCUUGUCAGUAAUAGCAAAAAAAUUCAAGAAACCACUGUGGUACUCCGCAGAUGUGGCCAAAAUAGUAAAAAACAAAAAGUUAGCAUUUAGUAAUUAUAAAAAAAAAAAACCAGAGUGAGGAAGACAGAAUGAUCUAUAAGAUUAGGCAGAAAGAGGCUAAGCAAGUUACAAGAGCUUCCAAAUCACACACAGAAGAGAAAAUAGCACAGUCAGUAAAAAAAGAGGGACAAAACCUUUUUUAGAUACAUAAAUAAGAAAAGAAAAGUAAAACAAGGAUUAGUUAGAUUAAAAACAAAAGAAGGAAGAUAUGUAGAGGAGGAUAAAG